rnacentral:lncRNA from 1 species
UAAACACUAGUUCACUAUUAAAGUCACCAAAACUUAAGCUUUUUCAACUAACAAAGACACCAACGAAACUAAUUCACUUUUAAAGUCACGAAAAGUUAAGCAUUUUCAACAAAUAAAGUAACCAACAACAUCACCUCCUGAACACUAAUUCACUAUUACAGUCACUGGCACUUAAGCAUUUUCAACAAAUAAAGUAACCAAUAACAUCACCUUCUAAAUAAAUGUUCACUUUUAAAGUCAC